UCAAAGUCAAUGAAAAAGAGAGUAGUUUAUUGUGGAAUUAAAGCGAGUCAAGGAUGGUGUGAGCUUGACAGGAUGCAAUAGAUGAACCGCACUUUUGAGAUGCAUGCCUGAAACAGGAAUAGGGCUUGUCGGGGGAUACCUCGUUACCAAACAGGAGUGGUUAUUCGGUGAAUAACAAAUUGGAGUGGUACCACGGGAGAAUUAGCUCUCGUCUCUUUA
rnacentral:ncRNA from 1 species